AGAGUUUGAUCCUGGCUCAGGACGAACGCUGGCGGCGUGCCUAACACAUGCAAGUCGAGCGGAGGGAUACGAGGAGCAAUCUGAGGAUUCCUGAGCGGCGGACGGGUGAGUAACGCGUGGGCAACCUGCCUUGCACUGGGGGAUAACGCGGCGAAAGCCGCACUAAUACCGCAUAAGACCACAAGGGCCGCAUGGUCCGGGGGUCAAAGGAGCGAUCCGGUGGAAGAUGGGCCCGCGUCCGAUUAGGUAGUUGGUGGGGUAAAGGCCUACCAAGCCUGAGAUCGGUAGCCGACCUGAGAGGGUGAUCGGCCACACUGGAACUGAGACACGGUCCAGACUCCUACGGGAGGCAGCAGUGGGGAAUAUUGGGCAAUGGGGGAAACCCUGACCCAGCAACGCCGCGUGAGGGAAGAAGGUCCUCGGAUUGUAAACCUCUGUUCCUGGAGAAGAGAAGAAGACGGUAUCCAGGGAGGAAGCCCCGGCUAACUACGUGCCAGCAGCCGCGGUAAUACGUAGGGGGCAAGCGUUGUCCGGAAUAAUUGGGCGUAAAGGGCGCGUAGGCGGCAAGGCAAGUCAGCAGUGGAAGUCCCAUUUUCAAGGUGGGGAGGGCUGUUGAAACUGCGUUGCUUGAGUGCAGGAGAGGUUAUCGGAAUUCCCGGUGUAGCGGUGAAAUGCGUAGAGAUCGGGAGGAACACCAGUGGCGAAGGCGGGUAACUGGACUGCAACUGACGCUGGGGCGCGAAAGUGUGGGGAGCAAACAGGAUUAGAUACCCUGGUAGUCCACACUGUAAACGAUGAAUGCUAGGUGUAGGGGGUAUCGACCCCUUCUGUGCCGGAGUAAACACAAUAAGCAUUCCGCCUGGGGAGUACGGUCGCAAGAUUAAAACUCAAAGGAAUUGACGGGGGCCCGCACAAGCAGCGGAGCAUGUGGUUUAAUUCGAAGCAACGCGAAGAACCUUACCAGGUCUUGACAUCCAGGUAAAGCUUGAGAGAUCAGGUGUGCCUUCGGGCGAUCUGAGACAGGUGGUGCAUGGUUGUCGUCAGCUCGUGUCGUGAGAUGUUGGGUUAAGUCCCGCAACGAGCGCAACCCUUGCUGAUAGUUACUAACACGUAGAGGUGAGGACUCUAUCGGGACCGCCGGGGACAACUCGGAGGAAGGUGGGGACGACGUCAAAUCAUCAUGCCCCUUAUGACCUGGGCUACACACGUACUACAAUGGCGAUUACAAUGGGAAGCAAUAUCGCAAGGUGGAGCAAAUCCCCAAAAAUCGCCCCAGUUCAGAUUGCAGGCUGCAACUCGCCUGCAUGAAGUCGGAAUUGCUAGUAAUGGCAGGUCAGCAUACUGCCGUGAAUACGUUCCCGGGCCUUGUACACACCGCCCGUCACACCAUGAGAGCUGACAACACCCGAAGUCGGUAGUUUAACCGUAAGGAGGACGCCGCCGAAGGUGGGGUUGGUGAUUGGGGUGAAGUCGUAACAAGGUAGCCGUA
rnacentral:rRNA from 1 species